GGAGAGGUGUCCGAGCUGGCCGAAGGAGCACGACUGGAAAUCGUGUAAACCUCUAAAGGGUUUCGUGGGUUCGAAUCCCACCCUCUCCG
rnacentral:tRNA from 1 species